GCAAUCUCGCGCGACUGGCGAUCGUAGAUGGAGCACCAUCGGGAAGCGCGAGGAAUUGAGCCGCGCGCCUGGGCAAUCGGA
rnacentral:ncRNA from 1 species